GAAGUACCCAAGUAGGUUGUUUUUUUUCUCACGGAUGAGUUUUUCUCAGUUCCAGUUAAGUGGUUGCAUGCGUGUUACUGCCUUAGCCAUUCAUCUAUUCAAAUGUAAUUUGGGUUUAGGUUUGUUGCAGAUUUAUACCUGGAUUUGUUCAUAAUUUUCCAGACGAUAAAUGAAGAGCAUGGAGCAGUUCCUUAUCAUUGUUCUAUUAGCAGGAGGAACACUCGCUCUCGUUCCAGUUGAUGAGACUACUUGCGACCUCAGGACAAACACAUUUCCAUGCUCUCCUAUUCUUGAAGGAACUGUGUAUAUCCAAGUGAUGAAUGAUGCUAGUGGCCGUGAAAUGAAGUGUUUGAAGGUGCUCCCCAGUGUGAACAUAACUGUGUUCAAUCUGAAGAAAGGAAAAAUAACGAUAGACAAGGAAUUUAGCAACAGACUACAGUUUCUAAUCAAGAACGGGACACUCAAGAUCACAAACCUGAGGAGGAAUGAUUCAGGUCAAUACAGCAUUGAGGUCUUUAAUUCAGAUGGAGUUCAAGAGAAAAACAUUCUUUUCACCCUGGAUGUUAAAGACAAUGGCGAAGUUGAAGCUCUGGUUCCAGUUGAUGAGACUACUUGUGACCUCAGGACGAACACAUGCCCGUGCUUUCCUCUUCUUAAAGGAACUGUGUAUAUCCAAGUGAUGACUGAUGCCAGUGGCCAUGAAAUGAAGUGUUUGAAGGUGCUUCCCAAGGGAAACACAACUGUUUUCAAUCUGAAGAAAGGAAAAAUAACGACAGACAAGGAAUUUAACAACAGACUACAGUUUCUAAUCAAGAACGGGACACUCAAGAUCACAAACCUGAGGAGGAAUGAUUCAGGUCGAUACAGCAUUGAGGUCUUUAAUUCCAAUGGAGUCCUAGAGAAAAAUAUUCAUUUCACCCUGGAUGUUAAAGACAAUGGCAACGUUGAAGCUCUCGUUACAGAUGAUGAGACCACUUGUGACCUCAGGACAAACACAUGUCCAUGCUCUCCUAUUUUUGAAGGAACUGUGUAUAUCCAAGUGAUGAAUGAUGCUAGUGGCCGUGAAAUGAAGUGUUUGAAGGUGCUUCCCAAGGGGAACAUAACUGUGUUCAAUCUGAAGAAAGGAAAAAUAAUGAUAGACAAGGAAUUUAACAACAGACUAACAUUUAUAAUCAAGAACGGGACACUCAAGAUCACAAACGUGAGGAGGAAUGAUUCAGGUCAAUACAGCAUUGAGGUCUUUAAUUCAAAUGGAGUUCAAGAGAAAAACAUUCAUUUCACCCUGGAUGUUAAGGACAAUGGCAAAGUUGAAGCUCCUGUGUCCUCUGUCCUGCUGGUCUCUGAGUGUCAGUCCCAGGGAGAGAUGAGGGUGUCCUGCUCCUCUGAGGGAGGGGACAGUCCUCAGUACAGCUGGACUCUGGAUGGACGCACACUGACAGAUGCUGAGCUCCUUCCUGGAAAUAAUGAGAGUAACAUCAUCACUCUGAAACAGCACGUCUCAGGACAUCUGGUCUGCUCAGUCAGGAACAACGUCAGUGAUGCCUUCAAAGAAGAGAUGAUAUCUACCUGUGGUGAGUGAGAACAAUACUGAUAAAAGCUGAUUCUUAGUGUAAUUUUUUUUUAAGUUAUCUCUUUAUCUGCUCAUAGGCUUUGUUUUCAUCAGCUGCUCAUUAUUUAAUGGGACACAGAUGUCAGGGUGGGUGCAUAAGUCCAGUAAUACCCUUUGUCCAGAACCAACAGGAGACCCUACCACAGCCACACAGACUGCAGUAGGUACUUCCUGGUUCAUGUUUGGUUUGAAAGCCACUGUGGUAAUUAUAUCAUUAAGUGGGAUUUCGCUCUAUUUCGCUUGGAAGAAAAAAACAAUAUUGGAAGGCUCUGCUGUCUCACAAAGGAUGGAAUCUCCAGAUAACUCUGUUUUGAUGAUUGCAUUGAGUUCUCACUCCAACACAUAGUGCCACCUUUCACCUGUUGUACAUUUCUCAUGUGUCCUUAUAGGCUUGUAAAUAAGGAUUAGUGGUCGUUUUUUCAUUCCACAUUUUAUUCACAGCUUAGUAUAUUUUUAGUAUAUGUCAAUAUGUUUUUUGUGUUUUUAUUAUUCAAGAACAGCAAUCCAGCAAAAUAUAAUAGAAGUGGAAAAUCAGAGAAAGAUCUUUGUCUCCUUCUUUCAUGUAUUGUUUAUUUUUGCAAUUGUAUUUCAUCUGUCUACUUGAAAUAUAUUCCAAAAAGACAUUAAGCACAUAUGUUAGUAUUUUUUGUCACAGUGGCUGUGUGGGUGGCAGAGAUUGGACACAAAUCCGACUUUUUUGACCCUAUGCAACCUAUAUCCGAUCAUGGUAUGACAGUAUGAACAGCACAAAUCUGAUAUUUUCAAAUCCGACCUGGGUCACUUUUGUAUGUGGUACUGAGUCCGAUACAUAUCUGAUGUUUUAGAAAGCGACUGCUGUUUGAAUGGUCAUGUCGCAUUAAAUCCGUCUUUUACGUCACUAACACAAGACAGACACUGAUUAUCAGCACCAGAGAAGACAAACGAGAAAGCAUGGCGGCGGAAACUGGAGAUGGAGGGAGUCAAUGGACAGAAACUGAGGUUUUGGACUUGAUUAGCGUAUGGGGAGACAAUUCUGUUCAAGCUAAAUUUGUAGGGUCGUAUCGUAACUGGGCUGUGUUCGGGUGCAUUGCCAAAGAAAUGGUUGAACGAGGGCACAGGCCAGCGUGGCCACAGUGUCAGAGGAUAGUGAAGAGCCUCAGAGCCAACUUUAAAGAAGCUAAAGAUAUAAACAAAUGUAGUCGGACGUGGUCGACCACAUUUUGUUCUUUCUCAAAAGUAUAUGUGAAGAUCAUUCUAAACUACAGAUGUGUGUGAAAGUGUACUAUAGGGAAGGGUCAGAAUAUAAGCAAGAAGAAAAAUACAGAGGCUCGUGGUAAAAGCUGCAUCUGAGCUUGUGGUUUGUGUAGUGACCCUUACUGCUGUUUCAUUUCUUUGUGGUUACAAUGACAAUCUUCUCUUUUUUGUUGAAACCUAACAUCUAACCUCAACAAAUAGAACUUUAAAAGUCACUGAGCAACACAACAAUCACUAAUGUCUGUACAUGUGUUUUGAGCACGAAGGCUCAGAUGUAUCAAAUAAAAUAUUUAUAGCUUAAUUAUACAUUAUAAUGACUGUCAUGUCUGUGUUAAACUGGCAUCAAUUUGUUUGUAAACUUCUCUUUUGGGUUACAUUCAUUUAAAAGAAAAUAUUACAGUCUCAGUGAAACUGCAUAAUUAGUUGGAGAAUAAAAUGACACC
ensembl:lncRNA